rnacentral:rRNA from 1 species
CUGGCGGCGUGCCUAACACAUGCAAGUCGAGCGAGGAGAUCCUUCGGGAUGAUCCUAGCGGCGGACGGGUGAGUAACACGUGGGCAACCUGCCUCAUAGAGAGGAAUAGCCUUCCGAAAGGGAGAUUAAUACCUCAUAACAUUGCAGUUUCGCAUGGAACAGCAAUUAAAGGAGUAAUCCGCUAUGAGAUGGGCCCCGCGGCGCAUUAGCUAGUUGGUGAGGUAACGGCUCACCAAGGCGACGAUGCGUAGCCGACCUGAGAGGGUGAUCGGCCACAUUGGGACUGAGACACGGCCCAGACUCCUACGGGAGGCAGCAGUGGGGAAUAUUGCACAAUGGGGGAAACCCUGAUGCAAGCAACGCCGCGUGAGUGAUGACGGCCUUCGGGUUGUAAAGCUCUGUCUUCAGGGACGAUAAUGACGGUACCUGAGGAGGAAGCCACGGCUAACUACGUGCCAGCCGCAGC